rnacentral:rRNA from 1 species
UGGUCCAGACUUUGAUUAUGGCUCAGGAUGAACGCUAGCUACAGGCUUAACACAUGCAAGUCGAGGGGAAACGACAUCGAAAGCUUGCUUUUGAUGGGCGUCGACCGGCGCACGGGUGAGUAACGCGUAUCCAACCUGCCCACCACUUGGGGAUAACCUUGCGAAAGUAAGACUAAUACCCAAUGACGUCUCUAGAAGACAUCUGAAAGAGAUUAAAGAUUUAUCGGUGAUGGAUGGGGAUGCGUCUGAUUAGCUUGUUGGCGGGGUAACGGCCCACCAAGGCAACGAUCAGUAGGGGUUCUGAGAGGAAGGUCCCCCACAUUGGAACUGAGACACGGUCCAAACUCCUACGGGAGGCAGCAGUGAGGAAUAUUGGUCAAUGGACGAGAGUCUGAACCAGCCAAGUAGCGUGCAGGAUGACGGCCCUAUGGGUUGUAAACUGCUUUUAUAAGGGAAUAAAGUGAGUCUCGUGAGACUUUUUGCAUGUACCUUAUGAAUAAGGACCGGCUAAUUCCGUGCCAGCAGCCGCGGUAAUACGGAAGGUCCGGGCGUUAUCCGGAUUUAUUGGGUUUAAAGGGAGCGUAGGCCGGAGAUUAAGCGUGUUGUGAAAUGUAGACGCUCAACGCCUGCACUGCAGCGCGAACUGGUUUCCUUGAGUACGCACAAAGUGGGCGGAAUUCGUGGUGUAGCGGUGAAAUGCUUAGAUAUCACGAAGAACUCCGAUUGCGAAGGCAGCUCACUGGAGCGCAACUGACGCUGAAGCUCGAAAGUGCGGGUAUCGAACAGGAUUAGAUACCCUGGUAGUCCGCACGGUAAACGAUGGAUGCCCGCUGUUGGUCUGAAUAGGUCAGCGGCCAAGCGAAAGCAUUAAGCAUCCCACCUGGGGAGUACGCCGGCAACGGUGCAACUCAAAGGAAUUGACGGAAUG